rnacentral:misc_RNA from 1 species
GAUGAAGAACGUAGCGAAAUGCGAUAAGUAAUGUGAAUUGCAGAAUUCAGUGAAUCAUCGAAUCUUUGAACGCACCUUGCGCUCCUUGGUAUUCCGAGGAGCAUGCCUGUUUGAGUGUCAUUAAAUUCUCAACCUUUCCAGCUUUUGCGAGUUUGGAUUGGCUUGAAUGUGGAGGUUUGCAGGCUUCUCAGAAGUCAGCUCCUCUUAAAUGCAUUAGCGGAACCUUUGUGGACCAGCUUUGGUGUGAUAAUUAUCUAUGCCAUGGUUGUGAAGCAGUUUUUAUAUGGGGUUCAGCUUCUAACAGUCCAUUGACUUGGACAAUUUCUGACAUUUUGACCUCAAAUCAGGUAGGACUACCCGCUGAACUUAAGCAUAUCAAUAAGCGGAGGA